GGUUAUAGCUCAGUGGUAGAACAUCUGCUCUGCAUCCAGAAGGUCCUGGGUUCAAUCAUCCAUAUGUCCAGGUAGAGCUG